rnacentral:piRNA from 1 species
UCAUAUAAUUUAAUUGAAGGAACACGAA